ensembl:snRNA U6 U6 spliceosomal RNA
GUGCUCGCUUUGGCAGCACAUAUACUAAAAUUAGAAUGAUACAGAGAAGAUUAGCAUGACCUCUGUGCAAGGAUGACA